UAUCAACGUUUAUUGAUUUUUGCCAAGCCCUCUCGAAACUUCAUCUCCACUCAAGUUCUUUUCUUUCUUUUUUGGUGUUUUAGCAAAAUCACAGAUAGUUUGAUAAUAUAUAUAAUUACAAGGUUUUUUUGGACCAAAAAUUUAUAAGUUUAAUUUGCUAAUGAUCGCAUUAUAUAUUGUUCAUUCACAUAUUUCGACCAUACACAACCCGAGACACGUUUCAUCUUCUUUUUUCUUAUAAAAGACCAUGUGUUAUACACAUAAAAGAUUCAUUUUUUAAGAAUGGAGACUUCUAUUUUUCUUUUUUCUUAUCAUGUGGUUAUUAUUAAAAAAGGGUCAACUUUGCGCAGGCUGUUUGGGUAUUGUCCUCUGUUCCUAUGCCUCCCUCGGGCUCGUGGUCUUGAUUUAUUUUUCUCAACCGGCAGCAUUUGAUAUCUUGCAAUAAAAAUAAAAAUCUACUGCCUGAAGUGGGCCACCGAUUCCCCUGGAUCUUACGGCAUAUAUGAAAGACUAGAAAUAACUUUUACUUUGAACAUACGAGAUUGGAUCCAGCUGUGAUUCUAGAUAAGGCUAAGACAGAAGCUGAAAUAUGGAGAAAUCUUCAGAUCUCGACGCAAGAUAUGGUCUCCUCUUCUGUAGACCAGAAUCUACGCUCUCAGGGAUACUGCAGGUUCCGUGCUGUUUCAUAGGAGAAGAUCCUUUAGUGAAUCAGAUACCGCUUUGUUGGCGGAUCUCAUUUCACUAUAGUGGUCUGUGGAAGCUAUGGUUAGCUUAAAGAUUGACGAGGCGAUGUUUAAAACCUCGCCUGGUGUACUUAGAGAAGCUUUCAGCAGAAGUUCAUCAAUUCCUUAUGUCAAUCAAUUGGUCUCAGAGAUUCUUCAGUGUCUUAACUUCUUUUCGGACUGGAGGCUAGAUCAUGUAGAGAAAGAAGGUAACAGAAUGGCUACUUUGAUUGCUCAUAGUGUUAUCUCUGAUCAACGACUCCAAUCCUAUGUAGCUACAUGUGGAUCUUCUUGGCUCCAUCAUCUGUUAGCACAGGAAUCGGCUACGUUCCCCCCCCCCCAUAACUUGCCUCCUUUGCUGUCCUCUUUAUUGCAAAGAGUGUUGACUGUAUUACCACCUAUUGGUGGUUGUUACUUUUUGAAUUUUGUUGAUGUGGUUUGUUGCUCUUAAUUUGUUACAUUGGUUUGUAAACAUUUGAGGCCAUGUUCUCACCGGAGUUUUCACCCCUACUUUAGAAUGAUAAUUUCAAUGUUAAAAAAACACUAUGAGUUAGUGUAUUUGUUUGUCAA